GAGUGAAGAGGGAAGAGCUCAUCAUUGGAAUCUGGCAGUGUUGCACUGGUCCGAGUUGUAGAUGAGGAGUAGUCCGUCUGGACUGCAUGGCGUCCAAGUACAAUAGGCCGUCAGUGGGACAUCAUAGAGGGUGACAAUCCCGUCCUUGACGCCAAUGUGCAAGUCUAUUACGAUGGCUAUCUCAGAGAGUCGAGCAGUUUGGGAUUUGCUGCUUAAACAUGGGAGGUAGAUUCCUUCUAAAGCUAAAUACAGGCGAGAGACCGAUAGAGAACAAGUACCGCAAGGGAAAGAUGAAAUAGCACUCUGUGAAGGGAGUCAAAAGGCGUGAAAUUGUUGCGAGAGAAGCGAUUCAAGUCAGCGUAGCUAGGCCCAUCAAGCGUCUUCGCUUUGGACUAGCUUUGCCAGCGGUCUUGUCCCUUCAAGAGACUUGACUUGUAAUAUGUCCAGCCUGGCGUGCACAGGCAGGCCCCUUCUGGGGGCCAGUGGCAUGGCUGGUGGAAUGGCUUGCAAUCGACCCGUCUUGAAACACGGACCAAGGAGUCUAACAUGUAUGCGAGUAUAAGGGUGGCAAACCCGUAUGCGCAAUGAAAGUGAUUUUCGGUGAUUGAGAAUGGCCUGAUGACCAGACAAGCAAUAUAUGUCCCUCGUACGGCCAUUGCCCAAGUUCCGUGGUAGAUCCCACGAACAUGGAGUUGGAGCAUACAUGCUAGGACCCGAAAGAUGGUGAACUAUGCCUGGACAAAGCGAAGCCAAAGGAAACUCUGGUGGAGGCUUGUAGCGAUUCUGACGUGCAAAUCGAUCGUCUGAUUCUGGGUAUAGGGGCGAAAGACUA
rnacentral:rRNA from 1 species